AAGGCAUUAAAUGCAAAUAAAUUGAGUUUUUUGUCCAUUCAAGCCAAAGUACACACAUGAAUGCUGCAACAAUACGAAUCCUUAGAGCACAAAACAAACAAUUUAAAUUCCAAGGGUAGCUGGUAAGCAUGUUUAUCAUGAGGUGACUAGUUUUCAUUUUCAUUUAUAACAGGCAGAAGUAGAAAUGUAUAAAUAUAAUAAUGGAGAAAUUUGUCAAAAAGUUAUCCCUUUUCAUUUUACGCCAUCUCUGUCAUAUAAAGAUGGAAAAUAUGUCAACAACAGGUUAAUCACUUAAGACAUCACUAAUACAUUGGGUCCUCCCAUUUUUCGUCGUCAGAGCUCCAAACUUCCAUUAUACGCAAUCUCUAUCAUAUGAAGAUGGAAAGUAUGUCAGGAAAAGGUUAAGUCAUAUGAAGAUGGAAAGUAUGUCAGGAAAAGGUUAAGUCAUAUGAAGAUGGAAAGUAUGAAGAUGAAAAGUAUGUGUCAAAGUCACCUCAGCAUAACGUCCUAGUGACGGCCAAUAUAUAUGUACCCAAUAUUGGAACAACCUCAUAUCGAAUUUCAGCAGUAGAUAGGUAUUCAAGCUUUUCCAAACCCCCAGCCUCUUCGAUCCGCUUAGUAUAACCACCAGUGUCGCCAUCUUCCUCUUCAAUACGCUUUCCAAACUUCAAUAUACUUUCUACUGCUUUUAAACUGAUGGUGCCACCAGAGAAGCCAAGAUAAUCACACAGAGGAUCUAUGCAGCAAUCCACCAAGUCUCUAAAGCCAAAAGCAUGAGGAAAAAAAAAACAUCAGAUUUAGUAAAAUAAUUAGUAUACAAGAGAGAUGAUUUACCCAGAAAAAGAGGUUACAUACUUGGUGUAAGCAAUGUCACUGGUUCAGAUAAUUGCAAUUGAAAGUGCAGCAGCAGCAAUACCCAUUUUUUUAGUUGUAGCCAGUGUGUGUAGAGGUUCUAUUAAUCCAGCAUUAAAUACAGCCUGCUCAAACAUUACAGACAACUAUUUAGAUAAAUGACUAUGUAGAGAAGGUUUUAUCAACUAAAAAGUCGAUCACUAAAAGUUAAAAAGAUUUUUUUUGUUUGUUUUUGUGGGGGGGGGGGGGGGGGGUGGAGGGAGACACAUCUCCACAACUCUUUUUCCAUUUCCAUUUCUAAUAACUACUAGACCAACUACUUCACUCUCAUAUUCACCUAAUUGAGAGUUCUUUGGUUUUUGCAUCCCUAAUGUAUGCACUACUUUUUACUCAUACCCUUAUCCUUUUAUUUUUUAUGAAUUACCGCCUAAUCAAUUCAUUUCUUUUAGGGAGGAAUAGCAGUUUUUCUCCCUGUGUUAAUUUGGGGUAGCACAUUUAACCUUUAAGUAAACAAAAUGACUGCUUAUAUUCGUUUUUCUAACAGAGACUAACAGUCCAAACAAAAUGUUUACUACUGAGAACGGCUUUUGGGUAUUACAGCUAGAACACUUUUAAAAAGACCUAAUUAUACGAAGAGGAAACAAUUAGAGCUCUUUCCAUUCAUCCACAGUUCCAGUUUAAGGUUAAAAUUUCAAUUUCAUUCCUCGGGGCAACUUCUUUCUUUCUCUUCCUUUAUUUUAUAAUUGACAAAAAAUAGUUCAUAUUUUGCACCUUGAAAACUGAACUCUUUCACAAUUUUGCAAUAUAUGAAUGUAUUAAGGGGUAAAUCGUAAAAUUAAAAAGGAUUAGGUGUGAAUCAAAAAGUAACGGAUAGGUUAAGGGUAUAAAAUGCAAAUAACUCCCUAUUUGAUCACCCAACAUUUGUAAAAUAUGCACCUUAGAAGACAUGCAGAAAAUGUAUGCAAGAGCUUAAUAUAUUUAGCUGUCCUUUUAAAUCCAGACGACAUACCUUUGCCCGCUGCGUGCUCCCAAUAGUAAUGUAUGCUAUAGACACGCAGACCAUCUCCUCCUCUAUUCCACUCUUUAGCAAGCCCAAUAGGCAAUCAAGGACGUUACGUUUAGCAAUGCUACGGGUUGCGAUCAUCAUCUUACAAAACUCAGAUCUUCACUUGGUUAGUAGGAAAAAAUAGUCCCACGCAGUCUAAUUUGCAAAAUAAGAGGAAUGCCCAUUGAGAGCAAAUGCUCUCUAUGCGAAGAGCAACCCGAGGACACAAACCGCCUAUUUCUACAUUGAAAAAUUACUCCUCAAUUGUGGGAUAUGUUUUUCAUCAUUCUGGGCUCAAAAUGGACAAUGCCUAGAGAUAUCUAGGAAAGUAAGGCCCCAUUUUAAAGUUUACAAGUACAAUUUUUGAGCAUUGAAGAUGCUUUUCAACCUAAAUCUAGACAACUCCAAGUUUUUCUUCUUUUUUUUUUCUUCUUUUAAUCAAGGACAAGUUUCUUAUUACCAGCUUACAUACAUAGAAAUUUUGUCCCAAGAUCUAAAAAGGCUAAGUUAGUGAAUACCAGUUAUAAAAAACUAAAAGAUAAUGUAGGCAAAAAAAAGAAUGCAGCCUAGAUGGCCAGCGCUGGAGCUGGGAGGUGGACUUGCCCAUGAUUUGAAGAUGACAAAGAACCUAUUUUUACACCUUCAGUCAAACGUUCUUACUAUAAGAAGACUUUUUAAAAAUAUUGUGGUGGACAGCUUUACCAAAUAGGUGGGUUUUUCGGAGGCUAUUAGAAAUUAGGCAGUAAACAAUUUGACGUUGAAUCAGGAACAUGCUAAAUUAUAAUCUCACUACAUGUUGUUUAAGAUGUUUCUACCUUUCAAUCACUUAAUUUAUUUUAGUUUGUUCCUUUUUUCAUUGGUUAGUUCAUCAAAGUAUUUUGGUUCAACCACGAAAGCUCCUUAUACCCGCGUACCUCUUUCUGGUGCUCAUCUCCCAGCUCGCUAAUACGUAUAACUGUAUGGAUGGCAGGGGGAUUACAGAACGUAAGUGAUCUCUAAAACAUCAAUUGACGUAUAUAUUAGAUAGGAAAAAGUAGGUUAAAUGAGGAAAAUAAAAACAUUCCACUCACUUG
rnacentral:lncRNA from 1 species